rnacentral:rRNA from 1 species
UACAGAGGUGGCAAGCGUUGUUCGGAAUUACUGGGCGUAAAGGGCGCGUAGGCGGUCUUCUAAGUCUUGUGUGAAAUCCCUCGGCUCAACUGAGGAACUGCACGGGAUACUGGAAGACUUGAGUUCGGGAGAGGGAAGCGGAAUUCCGGGUGUAGCGGUGAAAUGCGUAGAGUAUCCGGAGGAACACCGGUGGCGAAAGCGGCUCCUGGCCCGACACUGACGCUCAUGUACCGAAAGCGUGGGAGCAAACAGGAUUAGAGUACCC